CGGGAAAUUUGAAAAUAACUCAAAUGCUCAAAGCUAGUUGUCUCAUCAAAUUGUGAAUGAAACAAAAGUAUUAUGCAAAAUACUUUCAUUUUACUAACAUUUCAAAUUCAAAUAUUGUUGUUUACAAGAAAAUAUGAAUACCCGAAAUUAAAAUGCUGGUUAAAUGAAGUAUUUUGUAAAAUAUUUUGGUUUCACUUACAAUUUAUGUGACUACCAGGUCCGACCAUUUAAAUUUCACAAUUAAAUGGUUUAUAUAAAAUAUAGGUAGAUGGAAUAUUGAAAUACAGGAUGAUUAUUAUAAUUUUUAUUUUGUUUUUGACAUUUUAUAACUAUAUAAUAACAAUAACAAAUAAUGUUUUUAAUAUUUGUAUUAUUUUUCUUAUAUCUAAUUUUAAAUCAAAAAUAUAUACGGAUGCAGAAAAAAUCGCUUGCAAACACAACUACUUCCUGUGUAAUUAUUUAAACGAGUACUUCUUGGAAGGUAACGAUGUCUUCCGAUAAAAGUCGCACCUGCGCGAGUAUGGCUUAAGUUUCAAUAGAAUUAUCGAUGACGUCAAAAACAGAGAUGGCGCACCUCCCAAGACUAUUGUUUCAUCUCCUAACUACAAUUUACUGGAAUGAGAAUAUUUCUUUACUGGUAACUUAUCUGGAUAAUAAAAAAAACAAUACCUCUUUCUUGUAUAUCUCUAUAAAUCCGCCGAAUCUAGUCUACGCUUCAGUUAAAUCUCUAUAUUGCAGUAUUUCAGUCAAUUCCUUCACUCAUUUAGAUCGUAACCAAAUUGACUUCACAGAAACUUCUCCUCACUCUCAGUUUUAAAUUUUUUCCCACUUUUAUCUGUUCUUUUGAAAACACAAGAAAGACGACCUAAACCUUGAUCUACUGAAACGAAUGUCUAAAUCUCAUCGAAAAUUGACACAAUUUCAUUCACCGACCGAUAUUUCUUAUUAAUUAAUUUUGAAGACAGGGGCUCAUUUUCAUUUUUUAGUUUAUUAACAAAUAAUAUUUGAUGCUUCGAAUGAUACAAAUUUAACCAUACUAUUUAUGGUAAUAUGUUCAUUUACCAAUUAACAAGUAUAUAUGUUCUCAUAUUACAACCAUUUUUUUAUUAACCUCAAAUUGUACUAUAGUUUCCAUGACAUGACACUGAAUAUUAACUUUACUCAAAAACGGAUUUUACAGCUAAUUAUCAGGAAGUAAUAGUUCUUAAUUACCAAAUUUGUCAUUAUCAGCAUUUAUUAUUUAAAUCAUUCUUAUAGACCAAUUGUACCAAAGUUAAUGCCAAAAAUUUUAUUUUUUAUUGCAGUUUUAAUUGAAGUGUGGUUUCUUAAUUUUUUCAGUAUUAUAGACUAAGAAGAGUUUCAAAAUGAAAAUUUAUUAUUUUAAGAAACUUUAUUUUUUACUCACUCCUCCUAAUGAGAUUCGAUCAUCAACCAUACAAUUGCAAGCCUGGUUCACUCAUCAUUAAGCUAUCGAAUCUCUUAUAUUUUAGAUUUAUUUUACAGGAAAUUAUCAUCAAAAAGAAAGUAUGCGAAAUUUGAUUAGAAAAUUCGUUCUAACGAACUAAGAAUGCGAAAUAAAGUGCGAUGAAAAGGAAAUUCAAUGGCAAGGGUUCUUACACAAAGAAUUUCUUGUUAGAGAAUCCUUGACUUAAUUUCUACAUUUAUGACACAAAAGGAAAUUAUUUUGGGAUAUUAUGAAUAACUUAAGGAAACGGAAAUAGGUUUACCCAUAAUAGUCCAAAAUAAUUUGAUGUAUCAAGAAGAAUUUUCUUCUCAAGUAUGUAAAUGAAAGUAUGUUAAAACAUUAAAAAAUAAUUUUAAUGCUAUAAAGUGAUUUAUAAUCGUUUAAGUAGAAAAGAUUGUCCCUACUAAAAAUUAACCGAAGAUUCGUCAUACAAGAUACCGUUAAAUAGACAAAUUCAGUAUGCAUAAAGUUUACACGAACAUUUGGGUAUUGAUAAAAUGAGCCAUUAGAAAUGGGACAUAGCAAUCAAUUCAGACCGUAAAGCUGCUAUCAACACAUCGAGCUAUCAAGUCAUCGAUUAGAAGUUUAUUUGGGACUGUAGGAAACUCGAUGCCCUAGGUAAGAACAAGAUAUUUUUUAUUUGGGUUUCGGGUCUUCGGAUAAUUAAGGAAAACGGGUAAGUAAGGAUUAACCAGAAAAGGAAUGCAAAAGCCUUUUCAUGGUUCGAAACCUUUCAUUUACAAGUAAGAUUUUCAGAAGGAACAACUCUUCCAAGAUUCAAUUACCUCCUUCGGAACAUUAGUACUGCAAGUUCUAAUUCAAACUAGAAUAUUUGUAAAUAUAUGCUAGACCUUCUCACUACAGUCUCAGAAAGUACCUAGUUAUCAUACCACAUGUUACAAAAAAGUGACCGUUUUGAAAAAUAAAUUUAACGAAGAAUUUUAUAAUUUUUGUGCUGAAAAUACAAUCCUGCUGAUAUUUUCAUUAACGAAAAAAUGAAGAUCGUUCAAGAAUAUACUGCUAGUAUGUAUGACAUCAAGAACUGCACCAACGUGAAUGAUGCGAAAUUUCGCAUUUUUAUGAAAAAUUACUCUGCUAAAGAAAACAGCGAGCAGUUUUUAAAAAAAUAAAAGGCUUCGACUCCAACUCCAUACCACCAUGGUGGAUAUCAUUGACUCGUUAAUUCCAUUAAUGCAACGGAUCCAAUAUGUAUAAAACAACUGCGGUUGGUUCUUAGAUAAAUAUUUAAAGCCAAUAGAAUUCAUUGGAGAUCAUGCACCUCCAAGAAUUGAAGACAUUGUCGACACCACUGAAAUAGAAAACGAUGAAGAAGGUUGAGAAGUUGGUGAUCACAGUUAUCUGUCUGAUGACUCGGAAUCUCAAUAGCAUUUAAAAAUUUAUUAUUUAUUACAAUAAACAAAAUAUUUUUUUUCA